UACGUAGGGUGCGAGCGUUGUCCGGAAUUACUGGGCGUAAAGCGUGCGCAGGCGGUGAUGUAAGACAGUUGUGAAAUCCCCGGGCUCAACCUGGGAACUGCAUCUGUGACUGCAUCGCUGGAGUACGGUAGAGGGGGAUGGAAUUCCGCGUGUAGCAGUGAAAUGCGUAGAUAUGCGGAGGAACACCGAUGGCGAAGGCAAUCCCCUGGACCUGUACUGACGCUCAUGCACGAAAGCGUGGGGAGCAAACAGG
rnacentral:rRNA from 1 species